rnacentral:rRNA from 1 species
GUCCUAGCAGUAAACGUUGGGCACUAGGUGUGGCGGACUCAUUGACGUCUGCCGUGCCGCAGCUAACGCAUUAAGUGCCCCGCCUGGGGGAGUACGGUCGCAAGGCUAAAACUCAAAGGAAUUGACGGGAGCCCCGCACAAGCGGCGGAGCAUGCGGCUUAAUUCGAUGCAACCCGAAGAACCUUACCUGGGCUUGACAUCAUGGGAAAUCCCACAGAGAUGUGGGGUGCGAAAGCGCCCAUGACAGGUGGUGCAUGGCUGUCGU